ACCGCUUUGCUUCCUUCCCGUAGGCGCUGCCUGGCGUCCCGAGGCAGAUUCCCAGGCUGCGUCAGUAGCGAGGUUGGGUGAGAGGAAGAAUUCCUGCUGGCUUGAAGAAGUAAAGGCGCAAUGAUUUGUAGCAAAAUUUUAGAAAUACAGCUGUUGAAUUGUAUUACGUGGUUAGUUCUUGCUUGCAAAACUGUAAUGGCUUUUAGAUGUUGUGAAUAGUUAAGGAUGUAGCAUUAUAGACUAGAAAGCAUGUUGUAAGGCUAUUCGGCUUUACAGCAAAAGAAACAAUAAUUGAAACCAUGUGAGUAGGCUUGCCAGGCAUCAAAAGAAGCCUCCUUGUCUUCCAGCACCCCGGUGUAUAGCAUUAGAAGGCAGGCUGCCAAACUUACCUCUAUCCAAGAAUAAGCAGGUGCUCAGAAAUAAGGGCUGAGUGAGCAAACACUACAAUUUUGGUACCUGUAAAUUACUUCCUAUAGCCAUUCUCAUACUGAACAUGUGUCAGUGAAGAGAGUUCAUGUAGAGGGUGAGUGAAGAAGACCACAGGAUGAAGGAAAAGGCUGCUGAAUGGGCUGUCAUGAUGCUAAACGGACACCAGACGGUAGAAGAGACCAUGGAAUAGAAGACUGGAAACCUGAUAAAUCACUGCCCGAGAUAGCACUCAUGGUGGAAAUAUCCCCAGCGCUUCCUGGCACUGCUGAUAAAGAAUGCCUGACUGAACGGUAACAAA